rnacentral:lncRNA from 1 species
GCGUGGGGAGCCUUUCCAAAUCAAUUUGGAGCAAAUCAGGAACUCUCCCACUAAGGUGCAUGUGAAUCUGUUGGGCAGCGUCAGAACUAAAGAGAGGCGGCGGGCUGGGACACAGCCGUUGGCACUGCCUCUGGCGGAGAAGCACCACUCCUCUGUCUUCUCGGUCUGUACCUGUGUCUCUCUCCAGGGAUCUUGGUCCUACUGGCCAGGGAGAGAGUCACAAGCAAAGGUUCUCACACUGCCAGAGGAAGCUCAGCCCCACCCCCACGCCCGCCUUCCUGGAAUACAUGUUCCUGGACACUCCACUACAUACCAGUCGCUGUAAAUCAGACCUGCACGUGCAAGCACCGCAUUGUCU